rnacentral:rRNA from 1 species
UACGGAGGGUGCAAGCGUUGUUCGGAUUUACUGGGCGUAAAGCGCGCGCAGGUGGGUGUGCAAGUCGGAAGUGAAUCUUGAGGCUCAACCUCGAGGCUGCUCCCGAAACUGCACGCCUAGGGACUGGUAGAGGCUGGUAGAAUUCCCGGUGUAGCGGUGGAAUGCGUAGAGAUCGGGAAGAAUACCCGUGGCGAAGGCGGCCAGCUGGGCC